UUAGCCUUCAAAUCUGAAUGGUCACAGUUGUGAAGUCACUCUGUUGUAGUGGUUAGCACAGUUAUUCAGUUUAUAGAAGAGUGACAUGAAUCUCAUAGGUCCUCAAACAAAGACAACACUAUCUUUUGAAUUAGGAAGGGCGUCCAGCUGUAGAAACUCUGCCAGAUCAGAUUGGAGCCUGGUGUAGCCAUCUGGUUUGCCAGUCCUCAGUCAAAAUCGUCCAACCCAUGCUAGCAUGGAAAGCGGACAUUAAACGAUGAUGAUGAUGAUGAUGAUGAUGAUGAUUCAUUGUACAGUAACAAGAUUUUAUGUGCUUUUAAUAGUUUUCUAGUGAUUUUAUGAUUCCAAUAUUUGUGGUGGACAGAUGUAAUGUCGAAUAAAAUGACUUGAUUUUA